CCAGCCACAAUAUGGUCUUCAGAACACAUGUUCCUCUUCACUGAUUUUAAAUGAGUAUAUAUAUGAUCUUUAAAAUUGUCCAAACAUCUGUACGAUAGAGAAAAAGCUAAAAUAAGUUGUUGAUAAAUUGCACAAAGCCAUUUUCUGGUGGAACAAAUACUACAUAACAAAGUAAUGUACUAGCUAUUUCUUAUUCAUUUUUUUUUCAGUUAAAUGUUUAUUGUUAGUUUUACAAUGUGAGGCCUCCAGCUUUAAAUACACAACCAAAGCACC